CCGAGCAUUUACGUUUGUCAUUACUAAAUCAUCGAGGGGCCCAAAGAUAUCGCUUUUAUCCUUCUUUGGAUAAAAGGAACGGAUAAACUUUGAUUCAAUGCUCGCUUGCACUCACUCACCGAAUCACACACAACAAUAUGUUUUAUAACACCAAGUUACUAGUGCGUUUACAUAUUAUCUGAAAGAACAUAAUUUGUGGUUUGAGCUAGGCAUCAUUUUUUUUAUAGAUAAUAGUGUCAUUUUGCAAUGUUUGUGUUUUGUUAUGUAAUGUGUGCUGCCACACAUGUGCGUGCGGCCGCACACAUGUGUUUGGCCGUACUCUCUUGUGCUAGUAAGAGGAGUACUAUUUAUAGCAACUGAGUUGUGUCAGUCUGCACUUUUGGCUAGGUGUCAGAACUCUGCAGCAGUUGUACUUUUCUCAAGAUGUACUUGACAUUUACUGAAUAUAGAUGUGUGCAUGCUUGAUUUAACUUCUUCUUCAUCUUAAUCUCAAUCUUAUUGCAAUUAACUUCAUUGAUUACUAAAUUGGAUCCUUAGUUUUGCGACUUACAAUUGGUAUCAGAGCCAUUUUGGUAUCAAUUGAAGUUAUUUUUUUGAGUGCAAAAUUUCAUUAUUUUUAAGAAUUUUGAUCGAAGAAUUGUUGAUGUAUUUUUAAGAAUUUUGAUCGAAGAACUGUUGAAGGCUUGCUGCUGACUUUGAAGGUUUGCUGCUGACUUUGAAGGUUUGUGGUUAAAGUGAGUGUGCGGUGGAGUGUGUCUAAUUAAGUGUGUGCUGGUAUUGUGUUUGCUGCUGACUGAGUGUGUGCUGUUACUGUAUUUGCUGGAAUUUUCUUGUUUGCUGCCAAGAGUGUGUGUGCUGUUAAAGUGACUGACGGUUAAGGUGUUAUAAUUGUGUGCGGUUCAAUUUAGUGUGCGGUCAGAUUGGUGUGUGCGGUUCAAUCUAGUGUGCGGUCAGAUUGGUGUGUGCGGUUCAAUCUAGUGUGCAGGCAGAUUGGUGUGUGCGGUUCAAUUCAGUGUGCGGUCACAUUGGUGUGUGCGGUUCAAAUCGGUGUGCGGCUGGAUUAGUGUGUGCAGUUAAGGAGUGUGUUUAAGUGUAUUAGUGUGCGGUUUGAAAUUACUCAAAUGGAAUCUCAAAACAUGAUUGCUCAUCAAGAUUUGGAUGCAAUUAUGGGAACAACCCUCGUAUUCCNAGAUUGCUAUCAGCUGAAGGAUUUCCUGAAUGGAAAUAUCGAAUUGAAAAAUACAUCAAAAUGAAGGAUUUCAAAAUUUGGAGAAGCAUUUUAAGAGGACCAAUUCGGAUUACUUCUACUUUAGAAGAUGGAACGGUAAUUGACAAACAGAUUGAAAACUACACUGAUGAUGAUUUUGAAGGAGUUGAAGAACAAGAAAAGGCUCUUGCCACACUGACUAUGGCAAUGUCUCCUGAAAUUGCACAAGGAUUUUGUGAGUAUACAUCAGCAAAAGCAUUGUGGGAAGCACUCAUAGAAGUUUAUCAAGGAAAUGAAGACAUGAAGCAAAGUCGACAAGACAUGCUCCGACAAAAAUUCAACAUGUUCAAUCAUGUAUUGGGAGAAACAUUGGAAAAUCAAUUGCAAAGAUUUAUCACACUAACCACUAAAAUGAGCUCCGCAGGUGUGAUGGUUACCAGAUCUGAAAUCAACAAGAAGUUACUAAAUUCUCUUCCAAAAUCAUGGGACAUGUUUGUCUCAGUGAUUAAAAAGAUAAAAGACCUAAACUGUUUAAGCUUGUCUGAAACAAUGGUAAUCAUCAAAGUUUGCGAUCUUGAUGAUAAACAAAGAGAAAUCAAUCAUGCCAAUUCAUACUCUACAGCAAAUCUUGGACUUCAAAAUAACAACACUGCUUUUUCAAGCUUCACCACUCAUCAAAAUACUCAAUUCCAAGUUCCUCAAGUUCAACCUCAUACAGUCCAUUAAAACAUACCAUACAUCAUACCUAACAUGCAACAAACUCAAAUCCCUCAAACUAUAUCUCAAGUUGGAUCUAGUGUUUUUCCCUCCACAGAUGUUUCAGUUCAAUCUCAUGGAAUUGGUUCCGAAAGUUCAGUUACAAAAGAAAAAGAGGAAAAUAUGGAUUUAGCUACUGGGUUGGUGAACUGAUACAAUGCCUUUGUUGCUGGAGAACUCUCUCCACCACUUUCAUUCACUGAUCUUGAUCAAAUCCAUCCUGAAGAUGUGGAAGAAAUGGAUAUUACUUGGCAAAUGGCAAUGGCAGUAUUCAGGGCUAAACAAUUCACAAAAAAGACUGGAGAGAAUAAUUGGGGUGUAAAUUUUGAUAAAAAGAUGGGUUUUAGCAAAGGAAAGUUACGUUGUUAUAAUUUUCAUGAACCAGGACACUUUGCAAGGGAAUGUCCAAAACCAAAUCAGCGAGAAAACUCCGAAAGAACCAUGGUGCCAGUAACUUACGUUCACAGCAACAACAGAGGAUCAUCUUCAAACAAUCAGUCUGCAAACAUGGCAAUGGUAGCUCAAUCGUUCAACUAGGAAGAUCAAGUUCAGGCCCUAAACAUUUCAGAUGCUGAAAAGGCAAAUCUUGCUCAAGUCAAGGAUGAAAGUAAAGAAAUUGAAGCAGAUCCAGAGGAGGAGAUGAUGAAUUUGCAGUUUGCAUUCAUGGUUCAGACCACUCCUGAACCAGUCAAAUCUGAGGUUAGUGAAUUCGGUUGUUCUCAAUCUUGUAUUAAAACUGUUAAGUUUUUGAGAGAUCAAAUUGAAAUAAUCAAAAGAGGGAACGAGGACAUGAAAUAUGAGGGAUAUACUCUUAGAAAAAAUCAAAAGCCCAUAAAAACUCAAUUAGAAAAUAAAACAAAAGAUUUUAAAAAAUUGCAAGAGGAUUACAGCAACAAAUGCGAGAACUAUGAUCAUCUCAAAAGAAAGCUUGCUGCUGUAACCUUGGAACUUGACACAUUGAAAAAUCGUUUUGAAAAAGCUGAAUUUAAUUUCAAAAAGUACGAUGGGUCAAGUGAAAAGAUUGCAAAAUUAAUUGAAGGUCAAUUACAUUGGAGAGAUAUUACUCAUGCAAAUCAAAUAAAAGUUGGAUUAGGUUUUGAGAGUGUCCCUCCUCCUUUCAAUCACAAUUACACUACUAUUCCUCUGUCUCAAGAAGAAAUUGACAGAGAACCUUGCAUGGUGUAUGGAAAGUCAGCUUCUGAGCAGGAAAUACAGUCUAGUUAUGAGACUUUGCAUACUAACGUUUUUACUUCAAGUGCAGAUAUAUCAAUAGUUCAGGGGGAGCAUGCUGCUGAAACUUUUGAGUCAAAUAAUGUUGUGAUUGAGUCUAGUGUUAAUUACAGUAAUGAGUCUGUGUCAAAAUCAAACACAAAUGUUUUUGUGUCGGGUGGUAUUUUAUUACAGUCUGACAAUGUUCUUUCUAAUAAUGUUGUUUCUGAUCAAACUACUAAACCUGAUCUACAUGUCUCUGCUUCUUACACAUCUGUUACUAAAUUCUAUGAUGAAUCUUGCAAGUGUAAAUGUGUUAAAAAUGAAAAAGCAAAGAAUAACAUUGUCAAAAUUAGUGCCAAAGCUACUGAUGACAAACAAAUUUGUUUUAACUGUGGCACUGCUAGACACAUUGCAAGAAAUUGCAUGAACCGGAUGUUUGUAUCUCAUACAACAAAAAGGAGGGAGAAUGAAUUUUAGGGACGAUCUUUGACUAGAAAAAUUCCCAAAAUUCAUUCUAGAAAUGGAGAUUUGAAUACAACAUUAAAAGAAAAAAUUCGAAAGAUUUCAAAAGAACAAACAGGUUUUUCACAAAAAUAACAGAAGUUUACCAAAAUCAACUCAGGCCAAGCCUAAGUCGAAUUUGUCAAAGAGCAGGAAAGGAUCUUCUAACUCUUCAAGUAGGAAAUCCACCGGUUCAAAUCAAACUAACAAAUUCUUGAAACCUAACUUUCAAUGGAUUCCAAAAAAAAUUUCAGAUCAAUCUCCAUUACUCUCCAAUUCAAAUGAAAAACUUGUAAAAGGAAAGAGUCAACCUAGGAUUGUGAUGACCUGGGUUCCCAAAACUAAAUAAUUCCAUUCAUCGUGCAGGGACAGUUGCAGAGGAAUGUCGCCAGACCUUGGUAUGUCGACAACGGCUGCUCCCGGCACAUGACUAGAGAUAUAUCCCAAUUGCACGACAUUCAAACUUUUAAUUGGGGAUAUGUUUCUUUUGUGGGCGGAGAGGGUGGAAAAAUUACUCAAAGAGGAAUUGUGUCAAAUGGAGUGUUGAAUUUUGAGAAUGUUAACUUUGCUCCGGAACUGAAGCACAGCUUGCUGAGUGUAUCCCAGAUAUGUGACAAGGGCUACUCUACUCAUUUCACAGAUAAGGAAUGUCUGAUCUUAAAACCUGGCAUUGUUAUCCCUGAAGAUUGGAUUCUUGUAAGAUCUAAGCGAGAUGGAAAUGCCUACAUUAUAGACAUGAAUAGCAACUUCCCUGACAAUGUCACGUGUCUCUUCUCCAAAGCUUCUGAACAAAAUGCGAUGUUAUGGCAUCGUCGUCUCGGUAAUGCGAAUGCAAAGAACCUGAAUCGGCUUGCGAAGAACGAAUUGGUCCGCGGGCUACCCAUCAAAGAUUUCAUUACUUUUGACAAAUGUGUUUCAUGCGCUCAGGGAAAACAUCAUCGAAAACCACACUUUCCAAAGCAGAUAAACUCCAUAAGUCAAGUGAUCGAGUUAUUGCAUAUGGAUUUAUUUGGACCGGUUAAUGUUUUGAGUAUCAAUCGCAACUCUUUUUUCCUUGUUGUGAUAGAUGAUUACUCUCGUUUCACUUGGGUUUUCUUUUUGUCUAACAAAGCUAAAAUUCCUAACCUUAUCAAAAGAUUCAUUGUGAUGAUUGAAAAUCAGACUAACAAUCGAGUGAAAGUGCUGCGUACCGAUAAUGGAACAGAGUUCAAGAACGCUGUUCUUGAUCAUUUUUGCACUGAGAAAGGGAUUGUACAUCAAUUCAGUUCUGUUCGAACACCUCAACAAAACGGGGUUGCCGAACGUAUGAAUCGAACUCUAAAAGAUGCCGUAAGGACGAUGCUCUAUGAUUCCAAGCUUCCUGUAUUUUUCUAGGCAGAGGCGAUUAACACCGAAUGUUAUGUUCAAAAUCAUGUGCUAAUCAACAAAGCCAGAAUGAAGACACCGUAUGAGAUUUUAUUUGGACACAAGCCAUCUGUCAGUCAUUUCCGAGUAUUUGGCUGCCCUUGCACCCUUCUCCACUUGGAAUCUAAUCCCAAAUUCAAUGCCAAAGCCGAUGACUAUUACUUUGUUGGAUAUGCUGCUCGAACUGCGUACAGGGUUUACAAUAAGAAGACUAAAGAAAUUGUAGAAUCGUUUGGUGUUCGUUGGCUUGAGGAAAAUCAGACAGAUGCUAGAGUGGGUCCUGAUUGGUUAUUUGACUACACAUCUCUUUUCAAAUCAUUCAAUGUGUCUUCAGAUAAUCAAGAAGGAUCUACUUCCAAUUCGAAGAUUCCUAGUGAAGAUGAAGAAGAUGAAGUUGUUUAUCGACCUCCAUUGAUUUCCUCUGAUCCUCCUUUGGUACCCUCUACUCAUUUUGAAUCUUCUGAGCCUCCUCAACAACCUUCUCCUGAUGCUAUUGCUACUCCUUUAACUCCAAUGGAAAGAGAGUUCAUGAACCACGAGACUUCCGCUGUAACUUCAAAUUUGAUGGAACUUCUCUUUCCAAAAAAUAUUGCAGAAGAGUUUGUAGCGGAUUGUUCAAACAAACCUUGUUCAUCCUCUGCAGACCAUAUAUCAAAUGAUGGAGCGAUUAAUAUUCAUAAUCUUCCUGUUACUGUCAAUGAUAUUAGUCAUCAGAUCCCUACACGCAUUCAGCGAGAUCAUCCGAUAGAGAACNUUGGCCAGUUGGGCGACGGGGUUCAAACGAGAAGUAAAAGUGGGGAUGUAAAUACAUGUCUUUACUCUUGCUUCAUAUCUCAAAUAGAACCUAAAUCUGUCGAAAUGGCUCUGAAUGAGCCCAGCUGGGUUGAAGCCAUGCAUGAUGAAUUAAAUCAAUUUGAGAAACUCGGAGUCUGGAAAUUGGUGGAGCUACCAAAAGGAAAGAAAUCUCUUGAUACUCGUUGGGUAUUUCGAAAUAAACAAGACGAUUCAGGUGUCAUUGUGCGCAACAAGGCAAAAUUGGUGGUUCGAGGGUUUCGACAAAUUGAGGGUCUUGAUUAUACAUAAGUUUAUGCUCCAGUUGCUCAGUUGGAAGCCAUUCGCAUCUUUCUUGCUUAUGCUUCCUACAUGAACUUUACUGUAUACCAAAUGGACGUCAAGACGGCUUUCUUGUACGGCAAAGUCAAGGAGGAGAUUUACGUUGACCAACCACCUGGUUUUGUUAAUUCAUCUCUUCCAAACCAUGUUUACAAGUUAGACAAAGCUUUGUAUGGAUUGCAUCAAGCUCCUCGAGCUUGGUAUGCUACUCUUACUCAGCAUUUGCUCAAUCACGGCUAUUCCCGAGGCACCAUUGAUCAAACCUUAUUUCUCAAGCAUGUUGGUCCAGAUCAAAUUCUCGUUCAAAUUUAUGUGGAUGACAUCAUUUUUGGGUCGACAAGCCAGCAACUUUGCAAGGAGUUUGAAGCGGUGAUGAAGAAGCGCUUUGAGAUGAGUUCACUUGGGGAAAUGACCAUGUUUUUGGGGCUUCAGGUCCAACAAUCUUCAACCGGAAUCCUUAUUCAUCAAGCAAAAUAUGUGGAAGAUGUACUGGAGAAGUUCGGGUUUCAAGACGCAAAACCUGCUCUUACGCCCAUGGCGGAACGGCCUCUUCUGACUCCUGAUCUUGAGGGUGAAUCCGUAGAUCAAACUCAUUAUCGAUCAAUGAUCGGAUCACUCAUGUAUCUUACUGCUAGUCGCCCAGACGUCAUGUUUGCGGUCUGUCAAUGUGCUCGCUACCAGGCUAAUCCUAAACUCUCUCAUUUAAUUGUUGUUAAAAGGAUUUUUCGGUAUCUCAAAGGGUGCCCAAAACUGGGUCUUUGGUAUCCGAAAAAUCCCGAAUUUGAUCUUUAUGCUUUUGCAGACAGCAAUUAUGGUGGAUGUGAGCUUGAUAGAAAAUCGACUUCAGGAGGAUGCCAAUUUCUGGGAGAUAGAUUGGUGUCAUGGCAGUGCAAGAAGCAGCACACAGUCUCAACCUCAACAGCAGAAGCGGAAUAUGUUGCUGCAUCUGCUUGUUGUUCUCAAGUCAUCUGGAUCCAACAUCAAUUGUUGGACUACGGUUUGAAUUUUCAAGAAACCCCUAUUUUUUGUGACAAUGAGGCUGCGAUUCAAAUUGCCAAAAACCCGGUCUUGCACUCAAAAACCAAGCACAUCGACAUUAAAAUUCAUUUUAUUCGAGAAUGUUAUGAACGUUUGCUUAUUCGGUUAGAACAGGUCCGCUCUGAUAAUAAUGUAGCAGAUCUGUUCACCAAGCCUUUUAGCAAAGCUCGAUUCGAUGUGCUGGUUAAUUUUCUAAAAAUGAUUCGUUUUGAGGAUUGAUUUUUAAAUAAAUUUGUGCAUUUCAUUUCUUUUAUGCACAAAUUUAGGGGGAGAAAAUCCAAAAACAUUAAAAAACUAAAUAAAUAAAUAAAUAAAUAAAUAAAUAAAACAUUAAAAAUUUGAAAAACCAAAAACAUUAAAAAAAUAGAAAAUCCAAAAACAUUAGAAAAUCAGAAAAAUAAAAAUUAUUAUGCUUGUUAUAGAAUGUGUUUGAGGGAUAUGUUUUGGGAAGUGAUAUGAUCAUGUGAUAACAGGCAACCUGAGUCUGUGUAACGUACCCAAAGUUGAAGGGUCUAUGCUCUGGUUUGAUGUGUCGGUAGGCAGGAAAUAUUUUUAAAUGGACAUGACUAGGCAGAUAUGAACUUAGGAAAUCAAAUGACUUGACAAAUCUUGACCUAGAUAGUUUCGUUUAGCCUGACAAUACGACGCUCGGAUAGGUUGAGCAGGGAGAUAAAUAUGGGAAUCUAGUCGUCACAUUAAUUCAACCCGUACUUGGAACUGUGGAUUAACUUUUCCUUGAUGUGCGGAUUCUGUCCUUAAUUCCGGUUGGAUGGAGCGACUGGUAAACUCCGAUAAACUAGGUCUGUAGAAUAUCAUUUUCUAUCUUUCUGUCUGUUAGUCAUAUGUUGUCUCCUUUGCGCGACUUCUAAUCCGACCUGGUACACAACAUAUGCAACUCUAUUUCUCUGUAGGCUAUAUAUAUAAAUGUGUGAAAUACUUCUUAUCUGUUAGCCAUAUGCUGUCUCCUUUGCGCGACUUCUAAUCCGACCUGGUACACAGCAUAUGCAACAUUCUUCUUCUCAACCCCUCUGAAGUAGUUAGCAAUAAAAUUAUGAAUCUCUUCUCUCUCUGAAUGGUUGUCUACUCACCCGGUGUAAGAAGUACUCUGGAAGUUCUUGAUGGUUGGGGCAUAUCAGGAAGCGGGAAACACGUUCUAGUACACUUAAAAUUAAACACAUACAAAUUGUCUGUAGAUCUCGCUGCUCAAUUUAGGUGGACAACAAUAUCCCUGGUCAUCAUCAGCUAAUGGUCCUUAAGAUAUAGUAUCUAGAAAGUUAGGAUCAGAUAUAAUUAUCUAGGAACUUAGGAUCACAUUGUCUUGUCACUUAUAGUGUGUCCUAUUUUUGUCACAAUUUUUCGUGUUUAAGUGCACCACAAUACCGACAAUCGACCAGACAAAGAUGUGAAUAUGAAAGGUACCGACAAGCAGAUAAUGGUCGUCUAAAAACUUUGAUCCCUAAUCCUCAAUAGGUUAAAGAAAUUUAUAUAGGUUUAAAUUGAUUCUUGUCGUUAAUAAGUUCCUUUUUUAUUUUAUUUUUAAUUUUUAUUAUUUUUAUUUUUAUUUUUAUUUUUUAUCUUAAAUUUUUCUUUAAUUCUUUGAAAUUAAAACUCUAUUAAUCCUCAAAACAAUUCAUUUUUGAGAAAAUUGUGAGUGAAAAGGGCUUUGGGAUAAAUUAUUAAAGGAAAAGGGGGAGAAAGGGUAAAUUCUGUGCAUAUAUAUAGCGUGUGUGCGGUGAGCCUUUUUCACUGUCAUUUACUGUUGCCUCAACCGCACACACAUACUUUCUCUCUCAAACUCUUUGAAAAUUUCCAUCAAGUUUCUGUGAAAACAAGAUCUUACUCGAGAAUUCUCAUGAACACGGUUGAAUUUUUUAUCACUUUCACAAAUUUCUCUAUUGUUUGCUGUUAAUUUUUCAUAAAAUUUGUUUGUUUGGGUAACCACACUCUGUGUGUGUGCAGCCGCACACGUGAGUGUGCGGCUGACCGUGUGCUGCCACACAAGAGUGUGCGGCUGACCGUGUGCUGCCACACAAGCGUGUGCGGUUGACCGUGUGCGGCUGCAUGAUUUUGUGGAUGUGCAGCUGUAUGUAUCUGCGUGUGCGGCUGAACAUUUCCUUGUUGCCCUAAUUUUUCAUGUGUUUACUUUCAGAUUAAAAUGGGAGACCAGGAGUUUGCUAAAGCUCAUAAUUCUGCAAUUUUUCUUGAAGACCCUCCUGCAACCCAUAGUGACUUGAAAUUCAUUGUGGAUGGUUUGAAGAAAUCAUGCUUGGUUCACGCCCUAAAUACAAGUCCUGCUAUCUACCAGAGUUUGAUUAAAGAAUUUUGGAGAAAUGCUGUUGUAAAGAAAAAUGGUCAGGGUGACAAAUUUGUUGAAGCAACAAUUGAAGACAAGAAAAUCCAAGUAACAGAAAGCAUCAUUAGAAAAUCCCUUCAAAUAUCAGACAAACCUGAGUAUACCAUGGAGAUUGAUAUUAAUCAAACUCAGGAUGUCUUGGAGCAUAUGGACUAUGAGGGAACAUUUCCCCCUACAAUCAAGAAGUUGCUUCCUCUGUGUUGGAAGUAUUUGGCUCAUGUGUUCGUAAGCUGUAUUUCUGGUAGGAGAUCUGGAGCAAAUGAGAUUUCUCUAGCCAACACUGGUGCCAUUGCAGCAUUGGCUGCAGGUUUUGAGUAUAAUUUCUCAAAGUUCAUUCUGAAUGAAAUGAUUUUAAAUCUUGAAGGGACCAAAAGAGACAAAUUCUGGAUGUAUCCAAGAUUUUUGCAAAUUAUCCUCAAUGUGAAUCACGCCGAGCUGCAGAGAGGAAAUGAUAUAUUGGAUUUCAAAUCCAUUGGUCCAAGUGCCUUUGGGCUAAUGAAACAAAAGAGAGGCGGGAAAUUUGUAUUUGAAGGAAAAUUCCCUUUGAUAAAAUUUGGAAUUUUUAAAGAGGAUGAUAGAGAAGAAUCGGAAGAUCAAUCUGUGCCAAUUGAAAAUGAAGAUAUUCAUCACUCUCCCUCCGAACCUGAAGUCGAAGAAAUUCAUCACUCCCCCACAGCUUGUGUAGCUGAUGAACAUGAUUAUCAGAAGGCAAAUGAUUCAAAAUCUUCUCGAGGGGAUGAUGACGAUAAUAUUUAUGAUGAUGUAGAAUUCUUGAAAGAAAUUAACUUUAUAGGAUUCAAUGAUGACAUUCCAAUAAACAUAGAGUUUGAUCUUGGUGAUGAAGAUUUUGAUUCUCUUCUCAAUAUUCCCAGCAGCCGUGCAAAUAAAGUCAAUGAAGUUGCUUCUCUAGCAACCAAGACUAGAGAUGAAGGAAACUUUCUCAAAAUUAUACUCUCCACCUCGAAGCCCUUGGAGGUCACAACAAGCCAAGGAGAUGUGACAUCAGAGAUUCCUCCCUCUGUUUCACUUGUCUCAACAUCAGCUCCAAUCAUUUCUGACUUUUCGGAACCUCAGAUUUCUCAGACUUCCAUAAGAACAAGCCAAUUUCUUGAAAGUCUGGUGAUUCCCGCUGUAAAAAGUGCUCCUCAAGUUACCUCAACAAUCACUGCAACCUCCGCUCACUCUCCUCCAAAGCAGACUGAUGAAGGUCCAAGUACCAUAUUUGAGACUGGUGCAUCAUCUUCUAUUCCAGAAUAUUCUCCAACUCGACCUUUUCUAGAUGAAGCUUCCAUCAGAUUAGUAAGACAUUUGCCUCAAUCUAGUCCAACCUCUUCACGUGGUAAAGGAAUAUCAUUUAACGAGGGUCGGACAGAUGAUGACAAAUUCUCUUCGUCUGAUCCUCGAGAGGAAAUCGGAGUUCUCCGCCAACAGCUCAUUGAAAAAUCAAUUCAAAUGGAUCAACUUUCUGCAUAUGUCUUUGAGCUCAGGGCAAAGGAUGAAGAAAAGACCAAACAAAUCAAAGAUCUACAAACGAUUCUUGGAUACAUUCUAGCCAGUUAUUUCAAUCUCAAGAACGUUUUGAAUGAUGCUUUUGGUGAAAAAGUCAAAUCCCUCUUCCAACAGCCUCAUAGAGUCGUUGAUCAUCUUUCUGCUCAAUCACCUGCUGAAACUGAUGAUCUACCUGUUGACCCACCUGCUCCAAGAACAACUACCAUUGUAGACACAUUUGAAAAAGAACCAGAAGGAAGCAGAGCCAAAAUCACAAUCAAACAGGGUAAAAGGAUUGUGACUGCAAAUCAACGCGAAGGACUUCUAUUCAUGAAAAAUACAAAUGAGAAUCGCAAAGCUUGGCGAUAAGUACUGUAACAGAUUUGAAAAAGAGAAAGUUUGGCGAUAAGUAUGGUGACAGAUCUGGUAUCCGUAUGUGGGCUUUCGAUCCAGAAACGAAUUUGUGGGUGGUGAAGCGAAAUUCAGGAAUAUCUGAAUGUUACAAAAGCACCCAUGAUUUCAAUUCUUGGACUAAGACUGAUCUAGCAAAAUUAUCUAGAGUCCCCUUUCACAAUCCCUCGCAAGAUCCAAGUGCAUCAAACUUUAAGAGGUUCCUUGAUAGGCAGGUCAAAGAAAAUUUUCCCAGUAUGAAGACUGCCAAAGCCCUUUAUCGAAAGGAUAAGGAUGUUCUCGACCCAGAAACAGGCAAACCUAUGAAGAUUAUCUUAUGGCCUGCUAGAAAGAAGCAAAAAGAAAUUCCAAUCCCCCAGCACUUCCAAGAGGGAUAUCUUGAUAACAUGGAAUUUUGGGCAUACGAUGACGAAACUGCAACUGCCGCUAUCAAAUUCAAAGAUCAAGAACAUGUUUUGAGGCUGAUUAAUCCAAAAGAUCUUCUUCGUUUUCGAGAAAGGGAUAUCCGGACUUUGGCCCGUCACCAGAUAAUCUGCAGAAAAGACGUAAUGGAAGCUGCUGCUAAAGAAUACACUGCAAUGGUAGCUACAGUCAUAAAUGGAAGAUUGUGGAUGGGAUCAAUGGGGAGAUCAGAUUUGAGGUUGUUUGAGAAGCCUGCUGAGGAGCCAAAGGAAUGAUGACAAGACUAUGCUAGUCUCAAACCAAGGGGGAGACUGAAAGAACAUAAUUUGUGGUUUGAGCUAGGCAUCAUUUUUUUAUAGAUAAUUGUGUCAUUUUGCAGUGUUUGUGUUUUGUUAUGUAAUGUGUGCUGCCACACAUGUGUGUGCGGCCGCACACAUGUGUUUGGUUGCACUCUCUUGUGCUGGUAAGAGGAGUACUAUUUAUAGCAACUGAGUUGUGUCAGUCUGCACUUUUGGCUAGGUGUCAGAGCUCUGCAGCAGUUGUACUUUUCUCCAGAUGUACUUGACAUUUACUGAAUAUAGAUGUGUGCAUGCUUGAUUUAACUUCUUCUUCAUCUCAAUCUCAAUCUUAUUGCAAUUAACUUCAUUUAUUACUAAAUUGGAUCCUUAGUUUUGGGACUUACAUUAUCAAUAUGCAACCGACUCGCAAGAUACAACUCACACAUCUCGGUUUCAAGAAUAUAAGAUGUUAUCGUCUCACCAAUCACUCGUGAUACAAUUCAUAGAGUGAUCCAAGUGAGCAUGGGUUUAAUCCAAUGCUCAAAUUCAUAUUCAUAAGCACUCAUGAAUGUUGCAGCAAACAUUUGCUUAUGUCUAAUACUCUUUAGACAAUCCACACACCAAUUCACGACAGUCUUUAUUCAUACCUACUUCCAACAUAUGAACGACUGUGGCCCGUUCGAAUAAUUUGACUGUUCUAAACCAAUUAAAUUAUUCAGGAAGUCAAAACAUGCAAAGUGAAACACAAGAAUAAUACUAAUCCCAUAUGGCCUCAAACCUUUGAGCAUAAAUAAAACACCUUUUAUUUAUCACCAUAUCGAUUACUCAUUAUUUGUUGUUUCGGGUAAUCAACUUCUUACUUGAAUUAUUACACUUGUCCCAUGCUCCUAGCAUGCACACAAUGUUUACCUAUGGUUCUUACUUUGUGAAAUAGACCAAAUUGAGCACAUUCCCAAUCAUUCUCAUUUCACAACUCCAAAUCCUUUUUCCAUAAGUGAAAGAAUAUCAAAUUCUUGCUACUUAUAGAUUAUGCUAGAUUCUAACAUUUUAUGCAAUGAUCCUUUCGUGAUAUCACUGCACCAAAGUCACAAAGACUAUUGCCAAUGAUAUUACAAAGUCCUCUAUCGGAGAUUGUUACAAGACAAUUCCUUAGAUAUGAUGUCUCUCACUCAAAGUACAUUCCUUUGAACAUCCUUUUGCAUAAAAGUUUCUAAUCUAGUCAUAGAUUUUCAAUAUUCAAUUCCCAAUAUGGACACGUUUCCAU
rnacentral:lncRNA from 1 species